ACGCACCAUAGGCGUGGCGGGUGACUGAGCAACCGGUAUGGCGUCUCGAACUUCCAAGAUGGCGAAACUUACCCUCCUUUGCGAAAAACUGAACAGCUGUGUGACGGAUCAUGGUAUAUCAUGUUGAAUUUGAGAUCCAGACUCUAUGCGGACUUUUCAGAAUACACUUAAGGUAUGAGGUCGGACGACGAGAUAAAGGAGCGGGUCAAGGGUGCCCAGGACCUCCGAAGGGGUCGGCGGAGGUCGAGACGGAGGAGGAGGUCUCCCGCCGCCGGCACGGUACAAGGACAAGACCGGCCGGGCGCGAAAGAGGUUGUAGGUGGAAUCGGGCGGCCGACGGCAAAGGAAUUGAACGUGUUGAAACGGAAGAGAGAGGACAGACAUGCUUUGGACCCACCACAAAACAAUAUUGGAAUUUUGACUUGAGGUAAUUUUUGUCUCCUAGUGCAUUGAAGUAUGCCUGAGAACAAAAGCAAAAUAUAUUCAGCUUGGUAUGACAAUUUGACUUGCCACUAUAUCUCUUUAUUGUUCUUAUGAGUGACAAUGUUUCAUGAGACUGGUUACAUCUGGUUUAGCGUAAUGUCCCAUUCAUAUCUGAAAACAUAGGGUUUUUGUUCACCUGACUAUAACUCAUAUUAUUAGUGUUACAUCUUUUUUAUUUGCCAAAUCUGAAUUGUUAUUUUUUUUAUCGUGUUUCUUCAUGCCACGGUCCUGUCCAGCUUUAGCAGGAACAACCCAUACUUACUCCCAAUUUCUAAAUAGAGCUCAACACAAACUUCAUAUAGAAAUAUGUAGAAGGGAGUUGGGAUCCUUCCUUUUGUUUUGAUGUUUCAUACUAAAAAUAAUGCAAUGCUGUUUGGAAAAUGAUAAGAUUGAUAGGCAUAGAGUCCUAUUAGAGUAUGUUGUCCUUCUUCCAGCGAAAUGGUGUGUUUUGUGCGCUCAUCAGAUAAGCUCCUCUCAAUUGAGCAAUAUUUUUAUAUUAUAAAUACAAAAUUAAUGUAGUUCAAUAGUUUUGCCAUGCAAUUUUCUUUUCUUCUUGCAAAAUCUGUCAUUUAAAUUGCGCUUCAAUGUUUCACCGUUCUUAGUUUCCUAUUUCUAAAUUUAAGCACCUUAUAUCCAAGAUUUAGACUUGACAAUAUAAGUUCAAUGAUGAAUUUACUAUAAUUUUGCCUUUUUAUGCUGUUUAAUCUUUGUCAGUUACCCAGCUGGAUGAUCAAUAUUUCUACCAUAACCCUUCAUGGAUGUAUGGCACUAGAAGUUGUAGUGCAUAGUUUUCUUUCACACAAUCUUGGGUAUCUUACAUUGCUUAUAUUUUCUUUUCCUUGAUUUCAGAUAGAAUCGCAAGAAUCCUACGCACGCAAACCACUAGUAUCUACUAAAUCUGGGGUAACUUCGAAAACACAACCUGACAGCUGGCCGAGGCCCUGGGGCAGAUAAGCGGAGAGUUGGAGGCCUCGGUGGCUGUCGCGAGUAGCAGCUUAGGGUGGGGGCGCAGCAAGAGGGAGCCAAGCCGGCAGGCCACGGCGAGGACAUUGGUGGCAAAAGCAACCUCCACCGCCCCUCCUCUGAAACUGUCCAUGAUGACGUUGUACAGCGAGCUUGCUAUGCAUGGAGUGGCGGCAAAGGUGUGCUAGUCACUCUGAAGUGCCUCAGUUGGAUGGGUACUAUCCAGGCGCUGCCAACAAGCAAUGAAACGGUUGAAUUGAUGUUUAUAGCAUGCGGAAUGAAACUGAAUGCUGCAAUUGCGUACCGUGACGGUGAGUUCUAUCAGAUAGGGCAUGUACCGCAGCAGAUCCAAGAACUCGGUGACUCCGUGCGGGCUGGACAUGUGGAGGUGCACCCCAAGAAUUGUCAGGUUGGGGAGGGUCGGGAUCCAUCGGUUCCGGCUCUGGAUCAUCAACGGCAGAGACAGGUGAUGAGAUUAUGACAGGCAGCUGGUCAGCGCAGUGCAAUGAGCAAGAAGAUGGAAGCGUACUCGUACCCAGGUCGUGGAGGAGGAUCGUGAGCCCAUGUAGCUCGCGCAAGGCGCCUAGUGUCCGCAGGUCCAAACGUAGCUGGCCUCCCGUGCCCAGCGGCUGAACUCCAGCGGAGAGGAUCGUCAGCCUAGGUGCGUAGUCGAGCCUGAUGCCGCCUGACGCCGUGCACAAGGCCUUCUCGAGGCGCGUCAGGCUGCUGGAGACGAUGGUGAGGCCUUCUGGGCCGCAUCCACUUGUGACGUGGCAGCACACGAGCACGAGCAGCUGGAGGGCGCGCAGCUCGAGGAGGAGCGCCGACAGGUCCUGCCAGCACAGGUCGCACCCCAUCAGCCUGAGCACCGCCGGGCACAGGGAAAGGUGGCCGGCGUCCAGCGGCUUCAGGGCAAAGAAGCCCAGUGAGAGUUUCCUAAGGCCGCCGGGUCCAUCUGGGAGGAGACGCAGAUGGAAGGCCUCGUCUGCGGGCCGGUUCCUAUUGACGAGCACCAGCUCCUGGAGGGGGUGGCCUCUCUUCUUGGCCCAGAUCAACUUCAUCCACUUCCUCACCAGUUUCGGCGACGGGCACUUCGAGACUUCGACCCGGAUGCAGUUCACCGGGCCUGGAUGCUCCUUCAGCACAUCGCGGAUAGCGGCGGUGCUCACCCAUGUCGAGACGUCCCCGAGGUCGGGGGCCAGAUCGACGAUAGCCCUGACCAGCCCUUCGUCGUGGAUGACUAGUGGUACGCUCCUCAACGCGACCUCCCAACACCCCUUCUUCACCCCCGCCGCCUCCCCCUCCUCGGGCCCCACCUUCUUCCCCGCCAUAGCCUCCUCCCCGGGCUCGAUGACGCGGCCGUAGGCGAGGAUGUCCUUGUAGACCUCCACCUCCUCGAAGCGCUCCUCGCCGUGCUCCGAGGUCAAGACGAUGCUGGCGUCGGGGAGCGGCGGAAGCAUGUUGAGGGCCGCGGCGACGAGGUCCGACAUGGAUCUACCAUCGCUACUAUCUCUUGGAUGGAUCGAAACUUGGGAUUAGGGUUCUUUCAGGCAAGAUCGAUUGGAUUCUACUCGACCGUUGCAGGUCCCGCUUCCAAAUUCAACCGACUCACCUUGGGACCUGCAACGGUCGAGUAGAAUCCAAUUGAUCUUGCCUGAAAGAACCCUAAUCCCAAGUUCCAAUCCAUCCAAGAGAUAGCAGCGAUGGUAGAACGCACGCCGGACCUCGUCGCCGCGCCCCUCAACAUGCUUCCGCCGCUCCCUGGCGCCAGCAUCGUCUUGACCUCGGAGCACGGCGAGGAGCGCUUCGAGGAGGUGGAGGUCUACAAGGACAUUCUCGCCUACGGCCGCGUCAUCGAGCCCGGGGAGGAGGCUAUGGCGAGGAAGAAGGUGGGGCCCAAGGAGGAGGAGGCGGCGGGGGCCGAGGAGGCGGCGGCGGGGUGAAGAAGGGGCGUUGGGAGGUCACGUGGAGGAGCGUACCGCUAGUCAUCCACGACACAGGGCUGGUCAGGGCUAUCGUCGAUCUGGCCACCGACCUCGGGGACGUCUCGACAUGGGUGAGCACCGCCACUAUCCGCGAUGUGCUGAAGGAGCAUCCGGGCCCGGUGAAUUGCAUCCGGGUCGAAGUCUCGAAGUGCCCGUCACCGAAACUGGUGAGGAAGUGGAUGAAGUUGAUCCGAGCCAAGAAGAGAGGCCGCCCCCUCCAGGAGCUGGUGCUCGUCAAUAAGAACCAGCCGCAGACGAGGCCUUCCAUCUGCGUCUCCUCCCAAGCGGACCCGGCGGCCUUAGGAAACUCUCACUGGGCUUCUUUGCCCUGAAGCCGCUGGACGCCGGCCACCUUUCCCUGUGCCCGGCGGUGCUCAGGCUGAUAGGGUGCGACCUGUGCUGGCAGGACCUGUCGGCGCUCCUCCUCGAGCUGCGCGCCCUCCAGCUGCUCGUGCUCGUGUGCUACCACGUCACAAGUGGAUGCGGCCCAGAAGGCCUCACCAUCGUCUCCAGCAGCCUGACGCGCCUCGAGAAGGCCUUGUGCACGGCGUCAGGCGGCAUCAGGCUCGACUACGCACCUAGGCUGACGAUCCUCUCCGCUGGAGUUCAGCCGCUGGGCACGGGAGGCCAGCUACGUUUGGACCUGCGGACACUAGGCGCCUUGCGCGAGCUACAUGGGCUCACGAUCCUCCUCCACGACCUGGGUACGAGUACGCUUCCAUCUUCUUGCUCAUUGCACUGCGCUGACCAGCUGCCUGUCAUAAUCUCAUCACCUGUCUCUGCCGUUGAUGAUCCAGAGCCGGAACCGAUGGAUCCCGACCCUCCCCAACCUGACAAUUCUUGGGGUGCACCUCCACAUGUCCAGCCCGCACGGAGUCACCGAGUUCUUGGAUCUGCUGCGGUACAUGCCCUAUCUGAUAGAACUCACCGUCACGGUACGCAAUUGCAGCAUUCAGUUUCAUUCCGCAUGCUAUAAACAUCAAUUCAACCGUUUCAUUGCUUGUUGGCAGCGCCUGGAUAGUACCCAUCCAACUGAGGCACUUCAGAGUGACCAGCAGACCUUUGCCGCCACUCCAUGCAUAGCAAGCUCGCUGUACAACGUCAUCAUGGACAGUUUCAGAGGAGGGGCGGUGGAGGUUGCUUUUGCCACCAAUGUCCUCGCCGUGGCCUGCCGGCUUGGCUCCCUCUUGCUGCGCCCCCACCCUAAGCUGCUACUCGCGACAGCCACCGAGGCCUCCAACUCUCCGCUUACCUGCCCCAGGGCCUCGGCCAGCUGUCAGGUUGUGUUUUCGGAGUUACCCCAGAUUUAGUAGAUACUAGUGGUUUGCGUGCGUAGGAUUCUUGCGAUUCUAUCUGAAAUCAAGGAAAAGAAAAUAUAAGCAAUGUAAGAUACCCAAGAUUGUGUGAAAGAAAACUAUGCACUACAACUUCUAGUGCCAUACAUCCAUGAAGGGUUAUGGUAGAAAUAUUGAUCAUCCAGCUGGGUAACUGACAAAGAUUAAACAGCAUAAAAAGGCAAAAUUACAGUAAAUUCAUCAUCGAACUUAUAUUGUCAAGUCUAAAUCUUGGAUAUAAGGUCCUUAAAUUUAGAAAUAGGAAACUAAGAACGGUGAAACAUUGAAGCGCAAUUUAAAUGACAGAUUUUGCAGGAAGAAAAGAAAAUUGCAUGGCAAAACUAUUGAACUACAUUAAUUUUGUAUUUAUAAUAUUAAAAAUAUUGCUCAAUUGAGGGGAGCUUAUCUGAUGAGCGCACAAAACACACCAUUUCGCUGGAAGAAGGACAACAUACUCUAAUAGGACUCUAUGCCUAUCAAUCUUAUCAUUUUCCAAACAGCAUUGCAUUAUUUUUAGUAUGAAACAUCAAAACAAAAGGAAGGAUCCCAACUCCCUUCUACAUAUUUCUAUAUGAAGUUUGUGUUGAGCUCUAUUUAGAAAUUGGGAGUAAGUAUGGGUUGUUCCUGCUAAAGCUGGACAGGACCGUGGCAUGAAGAAACACGAUAAAAAAAAUAACAAUUCAGAUUUGGCAAAUAAAAAAGAUGUAACACUAAUAAUAUGAGUUAUAGUCAGGUGAACAAAAACCCUAUGUUUUCAGAUAUGAAUGGGACAUUACGCUAAACCAGAUGUAACCAGUCUCAUGAAACAUUGUCACUCAUAAGAACAAUAAAGAGAUGUAGUGGCAAGUCAAAUUGUCAUACCAAGCUGAAUAUAUUUUGCUUUUGUUCUCAGGCAUACUUCAAUGCACUAGGAGACAAAAAUUACCUCAAGUCAAAAUUCCAAUGCCAUGAUUCUGCAGGAGCACAUUAAGUUUUUGAACAUCGCCAUCCUUCUGCGACUGACUAGAACAUAUUGUGACCACUGAUGUUGG
rnacentral:lncRNA from 1 species